AUUGAACGCUAGCGGGAUGCCUUACACAUGCAAGUCGAACGGCAGCGCGGACUUCGGUCUGGCGGCGAGUGGCGAACGGGUGAGUAAUGUAUCGGAACGUGCCCAGUAGCGGGGGAUAACUACUCGAAAGAGUAGCUAAUACCGCAUACGCCCUACGGGGGAAAGGGGGGGAUCGCAAGACCUCUCACUAUUGGAGCGGCCGAUAUCGGAUUAGCUAGUUGGUGAGGUAAAGGCACACCAAGGCGACGAUCCGUAGCUGGUUUGAGAGGACGACCAGCCCAACUGGGACUGAGGCACGGCCCAGACUCCUACGGGAGGCAGCAGUGGGGAAUUUUGGACAAUGGGGGAAACCCUGAUCCAGCCAUUCCGCGUGUGCGAUGAAGGCCUUCGGGUUGUAAAGCACUUUUGGCAGGAAAGAAAUCGCAUCAAUUAAUACUUGGUGUGGAUGACGGUACCUGCAGAAUAAGCACCGGCUAACUACGUGCCAGCAGCCGCCGUAA
rnacentral:rRNA from 1 species